GAGCGGCACUGCUCUCUCUUCGUGGAUCUGAGCAGCGGCGAGCUGCGAAGGGACAUCUACAUCACGGUGCACAUCAUCCGGAUCGGUCGGAUGGGGGCGGGAGAGAAGAAGAACGCCUGCAGCGUGCAGUACCGGCGCCCCUUCGGCUGCGCGGUCCUCAGCAUCGCCGACCUGCUGACCGGGGAGACCAAGGACGACCUCAUCCUGAAAGUGUACAUGUGCAACACGGAGAGCGAGUGGCACCAGAUCCACGAGAACAUCAUCAAGAAGCUGAACGCGCGCUACAACCUGACCGGCUCCAAUGCAGG